GUUCUCUUCCUCUGCCAGGGUCCCAACAGGAUGCAAUAUACAGCCAGCCCAUCACAGGAAUCUCCAGCUGAUGAUGAAGAGGAAUUGCACUACGCAUCCCUUGACCAUCUCGGAAAACCACAGACAAGGAUUUAUGAUAGGCAGAGUGAUACCAUUGCGACCUACAGCACAGUGAUGCCCUCUGCUGGUGACAAAAGGCACAGCACAAGUCCUGCUGACCCCAACGCUCUCUACGCCACCGUGCAGAAGAAAGACAACACUUAGACGCUCACAUGUGUUGUAUAUGAUGCAUGAUCUCACUUAGACGCUCACAUGUGUUAUACUGUAUAUGAUGCAUGAUCUCUGUUGUAAUGUGUUAAUUGGCACAGUGUGCAUAAUGUGCAGAAGACAGAAGACACAUGAAGGAGGACACAGCUACUGUCACACACAGCACGUUAUCUCUCUUUAACAUCUGGGUCAAAGACGUGCAAAAUCAAAUUGUCAUUCAGUGUAACAGAUACCUUCUGCAGACUGUAACGGUUAAAAACACGACUCUUUUUAUUUUAUUUUUUCCCAGUGAAUUCAUGAAAGCCUCGGCUGUCAUCCAUUCACUUGAAACAAUUUAAAAAUUUCGCCAUUUCGCACAACUUUGACCCAUCUGCACAGCAUCAGCUGUUUGAAUAUCAUAGUGGGCUGCUUGUGGUUAACAUCUUGGUAGAGACAGUUUGUAAAUGUGUAAACUGUUAAAGACAGUUUUUGAACAAAUGUUUUUUUUGUCUUCAGAAACGUGCACAAACAAAGCACAAACGAUUCCAACCAACCAUGUUUGACUAGGUGCUGAGUGGCGUAUUUUAAGUUAAAUACCUGUACAUGGUUUGUGCACAAAUGUUAAUUUUCUGAAAAAAUGUGUGCAAAAGGAGCACAAAUGAUUCCAACCAUUUUCAGAGUCAUUUGGAUGUUCAUGUUCACGUUUGUUUACACAAACCAACCAUGUUUGGGUCAUUUGGGUGUUGACGGGAUGUUGAGUUUCAUUUUUCAGUAUGAGUGUAAUUUUUUAUUGUGCAUUCUAUUCACAGGAAAUAUUUGAGCAAAACAUUAGAGCUUAUGUGUGAAAUAUUUUCCCACCUGUAUCCAUCUCAAAAUAUGUCUAUUUUACAGUGGGCGUUCUAUAAUUUAGGUUUUACUGUACGUGAAACAUUUUUUCUGCUCUAGAAAAAGAACCUUAAUGUCCUUGUUUUCAGUGGCCAAGCU